rnacentral:sRNA from 1 species
AUGAACUACUGCAAACAAUUACAGACUGUUGUGUUUAAAGGAGUGGCGACAAGAUUCUGUAAUGAACAUGGAGAAUGGAAUCUUCCUAACCUUAUUAACUGCACCAACGAAGCUCUGGUGAAUGCAUCAUCACUUUUGGAUGGUAUCAUCGCAAAUAAAACACAGGAUAAAUUCAGAAUCCAGAAGACGGUUAACAAUACUCUACAAUUGAUGAAAGAGCUUACAUCAUCGACCAGUGGAAUCAGUGCUGGGGAUCUGAGCUCCUCUCUUGGCGUUUUGGAGAAGAUUGUCACAGUAACAAACGCUACGGGAUCAGUUAUCGAAAAAGAGGUCUUUUACGCUGUUACUGAUAACAUUUUGUCGCCUAAUAACUCUAACUCUUGGACUACUAUAAGCGAACAGAAUGAGUCUACAGAAAUGCGCGCUUUAUGUGUAUCAUGGGAUUUUAAUCUAAACAAAUGGUCAGAGGAAGGAUGCACUGUGAUCCAAACAGAUCGUCAGAGAACUGUUUGUCAUUGCAACCAUCUCACAAACUUUGCUAUUUUAAUGAGACCAUACACUCAGGUAUCCGAAGAAAGUCCAUUCUUAAAAACGAUGUCAUUUGUUGGGAUAGCUCUCUCCAUAGCGUUUACGUUUCUUACUUCUUUGAUUUACAUCUUGACAUGGAGAUAUAUAAGGAGUGACAAAAACAUCAUGAUGCUGAAUAUCUGUGGAUCGUUAAUACUGUCGUAUACAAUAUUUAUAUCGUCAGUGGAACAGACAUCGAAUGAGGUUGCUUGCGUUGCAAUAACGGCCAUUAUCCACUACUUUUUCUUAGUGACAUUCUUCAGUAUGCUUGGGUUAGGUGUUUAUUACUUCAUGAGUAUUACAGUGACUUACUAUGCCCUGUAUGUUGCAAACAACUUCAAGUCGAAAUCAAGGAUUCAUUGGUUUCUGGGUGGAAUCUGGGAAAAAGAGUUUGCUAAAAAGAUUUCGGCAAACCAAGGUGAAGAAGUCUGCGUUAUCAAUGUCAGAAAAAACGAUGUCUACAAGUUGUCCACAAAGUGUUUCUCAUGCAAAAAUUGCAACAUGAAAAGAAUCCCCUUUAAACCAAAGUCGCUUACUAUUACUUCUUUCUUAGCUGUAUGCGUUGGUGUGUACAUACUUGGAGUGGCAUAUUCUCUCUUUCGGGAACCCAUGAACAACAAUGUGUUGAAUCAGAGAGAUGACACACCAGAUCAAUCUCAAAUGAACAAUGUUCGACUUGUGGGAGGAAAUUCGUCGACUGAAGGACGGGUAGAGGUGUUUUAUAAUGGAGAAUGGGGGACAGUGUGUGAUGAUUAUUUCGAUGACAACGAUGCAGCUGUCGUUUGCUCAACGCUGGGUUACAGCAGCACUAAUGCUAAGGCCAAACAGAAUGCAUUUUUUGGACAAGGAAAUGGUACAAUUUGGAUGGACGACCUUCGCUGCACAGAUAAUGACACCAAUAUAUUUAAUUGCUCACAGAAUAGAUUUGGUAUUCACAACUGUGGGCACCACGAGGAUGCAGGGGUCAUGUGUUAUAUUUCUACGGAUUUUAAAGAACAAAUGAGCUGCAACGAUCAACAAGAGUACGGAAUAUUAUGGGGUACUACCAUUGCGGGAAUUACUGCAGAAGAACCGUGUCCAGAAAAUCAAAAAGGAGCAGCAACCAGAUUAUGUGAUGUACAUGGAGAAUGGGAACCUCCCAACUUUAUCAACUGCACCAACGAAGCUCUGGUGAAUGCAUCAUCACUUUUGGAAGGUAUAAUUGCAAAUGAAACACAGGAUAAAUUCAAAAUCCAGGAGACGGUUAACAAUACUCUACAACUGAUGAAAAAGCUUACAUCGUCGUCCAUCGGAAUCAGUCCUGGGGAUCUGAGCUCCUCUCUGGGCGUUUUAGAGCAGAUUGUUACAGUAACAAACGCUACGGGAUCAGUUAUCGAAAAAGAGGUAUUUUACGCUGUUAUUGAUAACAUUUUGUCGCCCGAUAACUCAAACUCUUGGACUACUGUAAACAAAGAGACAGAAAAAGACCCCACAUUUCUCCUAAAGAAUAUGGACCGUUUCAGCAAGAUUACACUCCAAAACGACAAUAUUACAGCAACUAAAUUCAACGGAUCUAAUUUUGAGCUUGUUAUCAACCAAACAAAAAUCGAUGAAACGGUAAUACGUUUUCCGGAUGAACAAUCAAACAACGUUUCUGCAAACUCUGAAGACAUUCAAACCUUUCUAGAAUUGCCAAAACAAGCAUCAAACGCUAGAAAAGCGAUCAACUACGUUGCUGUUCUAUAUAAAACAAUGUCAGACAUUCUGGGAUCUGAUCCUAACAGUAAAGAGUUGAAAGGUAAACAGGGGGAAAAGUCUAGGCAAAGAUCCUUUGUCAAUUCCCCAAUAUUGUCCCUCACUACCCAGACAGACAUAGGAGUGUUGGAUCCACCUCUCAAUCUAAUGUUUGGACACACUGUAAAAAAUAAGUCCACAGAAAUGCGUGCUGUAUGUGUGUCCUGGGAUUUCAAUCUAAAUAAAUGGUCGGAGGAAGGAUGCACUGUGAACCAAACAAAUAAUCAGAGAACAGUUUGCCAGUGUAACCAUCUCACAAACUUUGCUAUUUUGAUGAGACCAUACACUCAGGUAACAGAAGAAAGUCCAUUCUUAAAGACGAUGUCACUUGUUGGGGUAGCUCUCUCCAUAGCUUUUACGUUUCUUACUUCUUUGAUUUACAUCCUGACAUGGAGAUUUAUCAGGAGUGACAAAAACAUCAUGAUGCUGAAUAUUUGUGGAUCGUUAAUACUGUCGUAUACAAUAUUUAUAUCGUCAGUGGAACAGACAUCGAAUGAGGUUGCUUGCGUUGCAAUAACGGCCAUUAUCCACUACCUUUUCUUAGUGACAUUCUUCAGUAUGCUCGGGUUAGGUGUUUAUUACUUCAUGAGUAUUACAGUGACUUACUAUGCCCUGUAUGUUGCAAACAACUUCAAGUCAAAAUCAAGGAUUCGUUGGUUUCUGGGUGGAAUCUGGGAUCAACAUUCUUAUAAUUGUUUCACUUUUGAGAGUGUUGUUUGCUUCGAGCAUAGUGGCAAGGUCUUCACUGCAGAGGAAAGCGUCAUCCGGUCUGCGGUCACUCGGAACACUUCUGCCAGUUCUAGGAGUAACUUGGCUGUUCGGAAUCCUGGCAGUUAA